UGCAGUCGAGCGCACCUUCGGGUGAGCGGCGGACGGGUUAGUAACGCGUGGGAACGUACCCAGAUCUAAGGAAUAGCCACUGGAAACGGUGAGUAAUACCUUAUACGCCCUUCGGGGGAAAGAUUUAUCGGAUUUGGAUCGGCCCGCGUUAGAUUAGGUAGUUGGUGGGGUAAUGGCCUACCAAGCCUACGAUCUAUAGCUGGUUUUAGAGGAUGAUCAGCAACACUGGGACUGAGACACGGCCCAGACUCCUACGGGAGGCAGCAGUGGGGAAUCUUAGACAAUGGGGGCAACCCUGAUCUAGCCAUGCCGCGUGAGUGAAGAAGGUCUUAGGAUCGUAAAGCUCUUUCGCCAGGGAUGAUAAUGACAGUACCUGGUAAAGAAACCCCGGCUAACUCCGUGCCAGCAGCCGCGGUAAUACGGAGGGGGUUAGCGUUGUUCGGAAUUACUGGGCGUAAAGCGCGCGUAGGCGGAUCAGAAAGUUGGGGGUGAAAUCCCAGG
rnacentral:rRNA from 1 species